rnacentral:rRNA from 1 species
GAGACAGCAGUAGCCGCGGGAAUACGGAGGGUGCAAGCGUUAAUCGGAAUUACUGGGCGUAAAGCGCACGCAGGCGGUCUGACAAGUCAGAUGUGAAAUCCCCGGGCUUAACCUGGGAACUGCAUUUGAAACUGUCAGGCUGGAGUCUUGUAGAGGGGGGUGGAAUUCCAGGUGUAGCGGUGAAAUGCGUAGAGAUCUGGAGGAAUACCGGUGGCGAAGGCGGCCCCCUGGACAAAGACUGACGCUCAGGUGCGAAAGCGUGGGGAGCAAACAGGAUUAGAUACCCCUGUAGUCCCUGUCUCUUAUAC